rnacentral:tRNA from 2 species
GGGGCUUUAGCUCAGUUGGGAGAGCGCGACACUGGCAGUGUCGAGGUCAGGGGUUCGAACCCCCUAAGCUCCACCA